rnacentral:rRNA from 1 species
GGUCGGGGGCAGGGGUCCGUCAUUCAUUUGAUGUGCACCUAUUGUCCGCGUCCAUCCUCGGGGAGAACGUGUCUGGCAUUCAGUUGUUGGGCAUGGUUUCCUCGUCAUUUACUGUGAGCAAAAUAGAGUGUUCAAAGCAGGCUUAUGCCGUUGAAUACAUUAGCAUGGAAUAAUAAGAUAGGACCUCGGUCUAUUUUGUUGGUUGUAUUCGGAGGUA